rnacentral:rRNA from 1 species
ACGCUCGACACCUACGGGGGCAGCAGUGGGGAAUAUUGCACAAUGGGGGAAACCCUGAUGCAGCGACGCCGCGUGAGCGAAGAAGUAUUUCGGUAUGUAAAGCUCUAUCAGCAGGAAAGAAGAAAGACGGUACCUGACUAAGAAGCCCCGGCUAACUACGUGCAGNCGCGACGUAUCNGAGGCGGNUGACGAGC